rnacentral:rRNA from 1 species
GACGAACGCUGGCGGCGUGCUUAACACAUGCAAGUCGAACGGAAAGGCCCUGCUUUUGUGGGGUGCUCGAGUGGCGAACGGGUGAGUAACACGUGAGUAACCUGCCCUUGACUUUGGGAUAACUUCAGGAAACUGGGGCUAAUACCGGAUAGGAGCUCCUGCUGCAUGGUGGGGGUUGGAAAGUUUCGGCGGUUGGGGAUGGACUCGCGGCUUAUCAGCUUGUUGGUGGGGUAGUGGCUUACCAAGGCUUUGACGGGUAGCCGGCCUGAGAGGGUGACCGGCCACAUUGGGACUGAGAUACGGCCCAGACGCCUACGGGAGGCAGCAGUGGGGAAUAUUGCACAAUGGGCGGAAGCCUGAUGCAGCGACGCCGCGUGCGGGAUGACGGCCUUCGGGUUGUAAACCGCUUUCGCCUGUGACGAAGCGUGAGUGACGGUAAUGGGUAAAGAAGCACCGGCUAACUACGUG